GACGAACGCUGGCGGCGUGCUUAACACAUGCAAGUCGAACGGAAAGGCCCUGCUUUUGUGGGGUGCUCGAGUGGCGAACGGGUGAGUAACACGUGAGUAACCUGCCCUUGACUUUGGGAUAACUUCAGGAAACUGGGGCUAAUACCGGAUAGGAGCUCCUGCUGCAUGGUGGGGGUUGGAAAGUUUCGGCGGUUGGGGACGGACUCGCGGCUUAUCAGCUUGUUGGUGGGGUAGUGGCUUACCAAGGCUUUGACGGGUAGCCGGCCUGAGAGGGUGACCGGCCACAUUGGGACUGAGAUACGGCCCAGACUCCUACGGGAGGCAGCAGUGGGGAAUAUUGCACAAUGGGCGGAAGCCUGAUGCAGCAACGCCGCGUGCGGGAUGACGGCCUUCGGGUCGUAAACCGCUUUCGCCUGUGACGAAGCGUGAGUGACGGUAAUGGGUAAAGAAGCACCGGCUAACUACGUG
rnacentral:rRNA from 1 species